GCAUAUGAAAGUUCCCAGGCUAGGGUUGAAUUGGAGCUACAGAUGCUGGCCUAUGCCACAGGCAUAGCAACACCAGAUCCUUAACCCACUGAGUGGGUCCCGCAUCCUCAUGGAUACUAGUCGGGUUUGUUUCUUCUGAGCCACAAUGGGAAGACAAUCAGUAGACUUACUCUUGAUGUAAGAUGUACUUACCCACAUCUUCAUGGAUACCAGUCGGGUUUGUUUCUUCUGAGCCACAGUGGGAAGACAAUCAGUAGACUUACUUUUGAUGUAAGAUGUACUUUGUACAGUGGAUGCUUUGCUGUUUUAAUCAUUUUUGGUUCAAAUCCAAGCCAACCCACAGCCCAACAAAACCCAUCCUCUGUCUCCUGACUUGACCCCUGCUGUCCAUUUUCCCACAUCCUUAAAAAAGUGCAACGUGUUCUGCUGUCUUCUUUUCUCUUCACUUCUUGGAUCUCAGCCAAAUCAACCAACUAUGUCCCAUGUAGCAAUGCUUACAGGGUAGCCUAGUGUUCCUGAGGAUAGGAUGGAGAGAAUGUGACUGUCCAUUGCUAGGACCAUGAAGUGUCCUUCUGCUCAAGGUAUGCUUGGUGGGAUGAGGAGACUCUACAGGAGUAUGUCUGGAUCCUGAAAAAUGUAGGAAGGCAAAUGUAGAGCCUUGAGGUGGGAUGAUCUGGGCACUGGGGGUGUCAUAUUCGUUCCAUACCCACCCCCUUAACUUCCAGAGGAAAAAACCAUUUGUAACUGUGAGAAACAUGACAGCCUCAUCCAAAGUCCAUGCAAGUAUUUGUUCAUUCCAUAAAUAUUUGUUGAGAGCUUACUAAAGCAGUAAAGUUAAUCACACAUAGUGUGUGCUGCCAUCGUGCCAGGUGGCAUGUGGAAAUCUUCACAUCUAUCAUUGUAUUUAACCCUUACAAUACACCAUGAAGUGCAUUGCUAUUUUGCAGGUGAGGAAAUUGAGGUGCAGAGAGGAAGAGGAAGAUGUCUGAGGUUGCACAUCUUGAAAGUGGAAGCUGGGUUUGCAAACAUGUCCUCUGACCCUAGAGGUUCCCCCCACCUGUAUUUAAUGACCACAUUCUAUUACUAAAGGCCCCACACUGAAGAUACUGAAGAGUGUAAAACAGAUGUCUGCCUGAUAUUAAGAUGGUCAACUGUCCCGGUUAGUGUGGGGCGGUCCCAGUAUCAGCGUUGAAGUCAUAGCCUAGGGCAUCCCUCAGCAUCAGACAAACCGAGACAGUUGGUUGUCAAUACUGCUAAUGCAGAUCUGUUUCUCCUUUGGGCAUGGAGAGGCUUAUCACAACUGUGCCCAAGGGAUUGAUGCCUCCUUGAUAUGUUAGUUCUAUUAAGCAGUACUGAAGGGGCCAAUGGUGUGGACUCCCCAAGAUGCUUCAGAGUGAACUUUUCAGCCCUUCUAGGUGCCCAUGAGGACGUAAACAGAACAAGGGAACGUGGCUCCAGGGCUGAGAAAUCCGAGCACAGAGAGGAGUCAGGGGAGUGUUUUCUAUGCACUCCUAAUUUCCCUCUCUCCCUCUUUUAGGGCCUGUUACCCACUUCUUUGUCUAUUUGAAUCUUUCUUUUAGGCAGAGAUUUCACUGCUUAAUAGUUGACUCUCCAAUGAGAUAGGUGCAUCCUGCUAUAGUCUUCUUACCAUGUACAGAUACAAGUUCAUUAAAGGAAACUGACUUUGAUUAAUUUUCUUCAAGAAUGUCCUUUAGUGCAGAAAAGAAUCAAAUACUUCUCUUCUUGUCUAGCAGCUAUUCUGGCUGCCACGUGUCAUGGGCGCAGGUUUAGACUGAUGGAAGCCUUGGAUUUUACAUCUGUUUUGCAUCUGUUCUUCUCUUUCCUGUCAUCAUCACAUGCAUUCUAAUUGCGCCUUAUUUAUAGUUCGAGGUGCUCCCUAUUAGACUAUAAACUCCUCGAGGGUAGAGACCACGUUGGUUUUAUUUUUCACUAUUUUUUAAUUACACAUUCAGCACGUGGUAUGGCAUAUGGUAUUCACUCAGUGAAUAUUUCUUGAAUGAGUGAAUGAAUUCCGUAUCGGAGCAACAAUAACAUUCAAUUCAAGUUCAACUUUUCAGGCUUCACCUUGCAAAAAGUAAGACAGGAAGAAUUGACAAAGUUUUGUGUGUGAUCCUAGGUUGGGAUCUACAGACUCGUCCACUGUGUACAAAACAGCUAACAUUUAUCCAGUGUAUGUUAUGCACCGAGCAUGUGUAUGUAGUAACAUAUACACACGCUCAUCUAGUUCUUACUUGAUUUCAUGAAAGAUAAAACAAAUUCAAAAAGCGAUUAAAUAACUUGGCAAAUAUUAAGUAAUAAGUGAUCUAAACUUAUCACUAACCAGAACUUCACUUAGGAAACCUGACUCUGGUUUUUAACCACUGUGGAGAGCUGUCCUUUCUACAUACCUUGCGCUCUCCCUCCCUCUCGCUCUCUCUCUCCCUCUAACCCCUUUGCCCCCUUCUUCCUCUCUCUCAUACCUUGUGGUUGACAUUCUGAGUGUUGCCCAGCAAUCUGACCCUGGGUCAUGCACCAUAUUCCUUAGAAAGCCAUUGAUCAAAAUUCAGGGGUCAGAAGAUAGCCUCUUUCAUCCCCAAAGGGGCUCUUUACAUAUGCUUUUAUUAUCUAAUUUGUUAUUCUCUCAUUAAAGGGAAGUAUAUUUUCGGCCCAAAUAAAAUUUACCUUGGCACUUGUAUAUUCCAUAUCAGUCUCUUAGGAAAUAAAUGUUGUGCUACCAUGGAAAGCAUUCCAAAGGCAUAGAUUUGUUGACAGUUGCAGAACUAUGGAAUUUGGAACCCUUCAAAAAUGGGAAGGAAAAUAAGGCUGCUUAGAUGGGAUUAUUGUCAAGGACCAUGUGAUUAGGACUUCAAAUUCAAACUACAUUAAAUCUAAAUACAGAAUUGUGAUGGAGAGAUCAAAGGAUGUAUUAGUUGAAAGAGUGCUCAGGUGGCCACUCUUGCGUAAGUCUUUUCUAGCUUCACUGAGCCAAUGUCCCACUUUUCUGUGGAGCUGAUGAUGUGUCCUGGCCUUGGAGUUACAGGUUCCCCUAGUGACCCUGUGCCUGAUGCUGCCCCAAGUUCCUGACCCAUAGAGCAUAUCUCGAACUUGUCUCUUCCAGCCAUCAUAAAAAGCCCAAGUAACACAGCUAUGCACUAAGUGAUGGACAUACACUAUAAACAAAUUAUAGUUUUGAAGGCCAUGGCAGGACUUCUAGAGAUGGAAUGAGGGGCAAUUCCCUGUGAUGAGUUUUACACAAUAGCUGACAGUUUCAUAGAUUCUUUGCACCUUGGGGAUACUGUAGUUUUGGGGGAAAAUAACUGUGAGGAAAUAAGAGCAACUGUACCACAUACUAAAUUUUGGCUCUGAUGCUGUAAUAACAACAAAAGUCAGCAAAGAGUGGGCAAGGCAAAAUCCUCUAUAGGAAACACUGAAAGUUUAAUUACUGGUAUUUACUUGUACUUUUCUGAAUAUUACCCAUUUUCGUAAAUAGGUGAAAGUACUCGGUGAUGCUUUGCUUUCCACAGAUGAAAUAUUUCUUAAAAUGGUGGAAUGAAGAAUCCAUGAAAAUCAGUCAACCCCAAAACUUCCCCAAAUCUUCAAAAAUCUGUUCAACCUCAUCCAGCACUAAUUGCUGUAAACUUACAGUUAAGGGAAGCAACAUUUAAACACACUGAUAAUUUAGUGAACCGACUCUUUGUUUAAUUGAUUUUUCAGCAAAAUGCUUUUUUCAACAUGAGCCCCGUUCCCUAAAGGCCUCCUUUUCCCAGCUGCCAUCUGAAGCAUAUCCUGUAUCACAAAUGGAUAUCCAGUGGGAACUCCUGAAAUUGUCUGGGAUUGCCAACCCCAGGAGAGGUGGAGAUGGCUCCCCUCUUAGCCAUGCUGACAAUCAUCCUCUCCUGAUGUGCCCUAUUAAGGAGGGAUGUGAGCUUUCUUUUCCCUAAGGUUUCCAGCAACUUUUUGCUCUUUCCUUGCCUGUUCUUAGAACCUUGGAUGCCUUUUCUUUUCCCCAAACCUGGCCUCAUUUGUUAUAUUCUCUCACAGUCUAGUUCUCAAUUAAUUUCUCCACACUGUCUCCCUCUCCUCAGCCUGUAACCAUGCACACCACACAUGCAUUCCUUGGCACUCAGUUCCCCCAGCUACCCUUCCCACUACUUGCUGUUGUCUCAUCUUCACUAUUCUACUUCUUAUUAAAUUCCAAACCAAUAAUAUUCGGCUUUCAAGUAUUAUUUCAGUUCCCACUGAAAAUGUUCUCAAAACUUUCAGUGAUUUCUGGAGUUCCCAUUGUGGCUAAGCAGAUUAAGAACCCAACAUAAUGUCUGUGAUGAUGAGCGGUUCAAUCCCUGGCCUCACUCAGUGGGUUAAGGAUCCAGUGUUGCCACAAGCUGCUCUGUAGGUUGAAGAUGUGGCUAGGGUCCAGCGUUGCGGUGGCAUAGGCCUCAGCUGCAGCUCUUGAUUCCACCCCUAGCCUGGAAACUUCCAUCUGCUGCAGAUGCGGCCAUAAAAAGAAAAAGAUUAUCAAUGGUUUCUUAAUUUCUAAAUUUGUGACCUUUUAUUGGUCAGUGUCCCUAAAAGCUUCUACCAACACCAUUCUCUCAUAGUUCUUUUACUUCUGUUUGGCUCUCUCUUUUUAGUCUCUUUUGCUGGAUGUUCCUCCACAAUUUUCUUCAAGUAGAGUUCUACACAAGUGUUAAUGGAAUUAUUGUUAUCAGCUGAUCAAUGCUUUCAUUCAGACAAGGGAUAGGAGGUUUGCUUUUUAUAUCAAGACUGAUCCACACAUAGGUCAAGUGGAAGGAAAAAGUCCCUUUGAAUUCUACUUUGAACCCUUUUCCUGGCUCCUAGCUACUCUAGUGGCAGUGGAAAAGUAAGCAGAAGUGAUGUGAUGUUGCAAUAGCAUCAGAGACACUUUGUAUCUUGAGAUCACAAAGAAGUCAUGGGAUUCUAAGCCUGAUUCUGGAGAAUAAAUCUAGUGCAAGGUGGUCAGUGAACAUGGGGAUAUGAGAGGGCAGCAGUCAGAUUCCUGGAUUUUGGAGUGCUAUGGGAUGAAUUGCACCCCACCCCCAAAUUCAUAUGUUGAUGUCCUGACCCCAUUUCCUCAGAAUGUCACUAUAUUUGGAGAUAGUUUUUAAAGAGGGGAUUGUGCUGUAUGAAAGGGAUCUGUGUGGGGUAAAAAAAAAAAAAACAAAACUUUCUCAUGAAUAUUUCCCCCCCAGUCAGGAAUUUGGAAUUUUCUACUAUUUCCAGAAGAAGAGGGAAGUAAUCCCCCUCAAUAUGCUAUUUGCUUCCUUAGUUGGAGCCACUCAUUCUGUAUUACCUUCACCUAAAGAGAAUUCUUUGUGACAGUGAUCCAGCAAACUUCAACAUUUGUCUCAGCAAAGAGCUAAAAAGCAAGACAGAACAAAACGGGAAAAAACCCUGAUGUUUAAAGAGCUCACAUCCCUUAUUCCAGAAAAAAAAAAAAACAAAAAAAACAAAACGCAAUUCAGACAAGUUUCCUGCAUCAAGAUUUGUGCUAUCUUUAACAGAAUAUAUACCAAAAUUGGAAUAGGGUUUUAAAUUGGUUUCCUGACAAAGGCUAUAAAUUUUCCUAGGUGACUCAAAUUAUUCAUGAGAAAGGGGAGAUCUUGAUUUAUGCACUAGUUUUGUGUAAAUUUCAUUUUUGUAAAGUAAAUCACUUUUUCCAUUGACUCACAUUACAAUUUGAGAUAUGCUUUAUCUUCUUUUCUGAGUAAUCUUCAAUUGACAGAGGCUCUUUGCUCAUUCAUGCAAGCUUUUAAUGACCUAAAUGCACACACUUAAAUGAAGCAUAGCCAUUUAUAGAAGCUGCAAGGGAACUUUGUAUUCAUCCAACACACACAACACAUACUGACCAAAGGCCAGCUGUAUCACAGGGAUUGUGACUUCAAAGACAUGAACUCCCUGGCUUCAAGACGCUUACCAUCUUGGGUAGAUUGAAAAAUUGCUUUGAGAAGCAAAUAAUCUGCCUCCACAAUUUGAAUGCCCUGUGAUAUUCAUAUGAUGGUUCUUAAAAUUGCAUUGUAUCACACUGUAAAGAAUUUUGUCAUUUGUUCAUAUCUGAUCUAGUGCAUAUCAGUAAAGUCGAUGUUAUGUGUGUCACUGACAUUCCCAUGACCAUUUUAUUGCUUUGGGAGGUCAGGGAUCCUU
rnacentral:lncRNA from 1 species